rnacentral:rRNA from 1 species
AUCUUGCGCAAUGGACGAAAGUCUGACGCAGCGACGCCGCGUGCGGGAUGAAGGCCCUCGGGUUGUAAACCGCUUUCAGCAGGGACGAAAUUGACGGUACCUGCAGAAGAAGCCCCGGUCAACUACGUGCCAGCAGCCGCGGUAAUACGUAGGGGGCAAGCGUUGUCCGGAUUUAUUGGGCGUAAAGAGCUCGUAGGCGGUUUGGUAAGUCGGAUGUGAAAUCUCCAGGCUCAACCUGGAGGGGUCAUUCGAUACUGCCAUGACUAGAGUUCGGUAGGGGAGUGUGGAAUUCCUGGUGGAGCGGUGAAAUGCGCAGAUAUCAGGAGGAACACCCGUAGCGAAGGCGGCACUCUGGGCCGAUACUGACGCUGAGGAGCGAAAGCGUGGGGAGCGAACAGG